AUGUCUGCACAGGCGGAGGAGCGGGGCCCGGACAGCUACGACAGCAGGUGCAUCUUCUGCAAGAUCUCCAAUGAGCAGGAGAGCGGCUCCGAGCUGCUGCACAGUGACGAGGACCUGGUCUGCUUCAAAGAUAUAAGACCUGGAGCACCAUAUCAUUACCUGGUGGUACCCAAGAAGCAUGUGGGAAACUGUAAAACUUUAACAAGUGAUCAUGUGCAGUUAGUAAAGAAUAUGGUGGAAGUUGGGAAGAACGUGCUACAGAAAAACAAUGUCACGGAUUUGGAGGAUAUAAGGUUGGGUUUCCACUGGCCUCCAUUCUGUUCAAUAUCCCAUUUACAUCUGCACGUCCUGGCUCCAGCCAGCCAGCUGGGAUUUCUCUCCCGAAUGGUUUACAGACUCAAUUCUUACUGGUUUAUCACGGCUGAUCAGCUUAUGGAGCGUCUACAAGCAAACACACCUACAAGCUGAAGUAUGACUUGUUUGUUAGUGGGCUCAAUUCAAGUUUACUGUGACAGGCAGUACCGGACAAGAAAUAAUUACUGGAUUGAAACCACUGAACAAAUAUAAAUCCUCAUUAAUGGCCAAGAAUAUGCGUAAUGGAGACUGUGAGCUGUACUGGUGACCUUGUCCAUUGUAUGUUAUCCCAUCGAAGCAACCUGAAGGAGCUACACUGUAUUGGAAGUAUAGCUAAAUCACAUCUACUUUUUUCCGAUAAUUUAGAAAACCCUGCAUUUAAGCAUGAUCAUAAAGGUUUAUCUGUUAACUGUGACUUGUAGGCAAAGAUAUUAUAUUGCAGGUGGGAGAGACAUGUCAAUGUAAGUAUAACGUGCUAUACACUACUACAUUUUUUUUAUUUUUUUUAUUUAUUUGUAGUAUUUUUACAUUCCUUUUCCUUUUUUCUUCCAAAAGAAAAAACUUUUAAGUGAUUGCAGAUGUAAUUGCCACUAUUAAUCCAGGAACAUACAGCUCUAAAAUGAAUAAGAGACACAUCAACUGUACAGUGUGUGUAGAGGAUGAUGCAACUGAAUAAACUGCUCACAGCUCUUGUCUAAUAUAGUGCCACCUACACUACACACUAUCUGUGAGGGGCAAGUACCUGCCCAGAUGCUGGGACCCUCUCUGCCCUGUGUGAUGUCAGAAUGGCAAAGCAGCUGAUUAGACAAUUAACAUUGAGGCUCACAUGCAUCAUACCGUACGUGGUAGUGGUUUAUUGAUUAAAACAACUCUGCCUCUCCGGUAUGUGUCUGCUAUUAAAUAACUGAGCGGCAGAUGUAGAAAGCCUGGAGAAGUGAUAAAGC